rnacentral:lncRNA from 1 species
GUUGAUUUACCACAUUGUUGAGUGCUAAAACAACCAUUGUGCACAAACACCAAACCUGUAGUUGUGAGACUUGUUCUCAUCUACCUUCACUGAUGAUAUGCGUGGCCCAAGCCCAAUUGUCUUAGUUUAGCAUUUCUUUUACUUGUAUUGUACAUGAGUAAUAUGUGUAAGGCAUGUGGGACUUCUAGUCCUAUAUAAAGGCAUGCCCACACCUUUUGUAAUCACUUUUGAGAUAUUGAAUUAAUUUUAUGUUGAGAGAACUCCAGAAUUAAUUCCUUGAAAGUCAAGGCUGGAGAAUCUAAGGGAUUCCCUCAGCCACCUUCCAUUCACAUUUUCAUUUCUUCAAUAUCCAUUAACAAUUCUAACUCUUCCACCGUACCAUAUCUCUCCUCCACCUAAGCAAUUCCUUUCACGACACUCGUUCCAAUCCGCAGCCUCCGCAUGGCGUAUGUUAGCACUUCUUUUCCACGCUACAUUUUCAUUCUCGCGCACCACAGAAUCACACUCUUAUAUUUUCUCCUUCGAAGCAACUUCUCUACUAGGGUUUCUGUCACUCGAGCACCGAGCUUCGUCUUCCACCUUAGAUCCACGCUCCUUCCACCGGUAAACUUGUGUUCCUUCCUAGAUCCGCUUUCUUCCACCCUCUUCUUGCAUUUUAUCUGAUUGAUUUCUCCAUAUCCUUCAUUUUUACCGAUUAAAGUCGAGAUCCUUUCCAUUCCACCGAUUCAAUCAGUGAAAUCUCUCUUUUCACCGAUUAAAACCUCACAAAUCCCCCAACCUAGCAACUACACCGAACAAACCUUCAAAAUCUAGGGUUCAAUGGCUAAGUUCUUUGUCAUCCGCUGUGCUGCUCACGGUUCUUCGUCGAUCUGAGUUGCUUCUCUGUUUUGAGUUUCAAUUUUGUAUUGUGUUGAUUCACAUAUCUGUUUGCUUGUAGUUUUGUUUGAUUCUGUCUUGAUUCCAUGUAUCUUAUGUUGUUUCCUUACAUUCCUGAGUUGUUCAUCAUUUUCAUUCACUGUCUUGAUGAGUUUGGAUUCAAUGUUUGUGUUGUUUGUUGUUCUGCAUUUAGAUUUCAAUAUUGUGAUUUUGUGUAUAUUGUGUGUUGAGUUGUU